rnacentral:ncRNA from 13 species
UGUCACGAGUGCCAACGUCCAGCCCCGGCUUGUUGGCCGGCAACCCUCCACCGCGAAGGGGUGCCCCGGGUGAGGACACGGCCGCAUCCAGUGGAGGCGGCAAAGCGCGGGCC